GAAGAGUCGCGCGGUAUCCGUUGCAGGAAGUGGAGCAGGAUCGUGGCCAUUAUUAUGGCCUGUCAGGGAGUGAUGGGGCCACGUGGAAUCCAUCGCAGGAGGUGAAGCAGAGUCGUGGCUGUUGCUGCGGCCUGCCAGGGGGUCCAGGUCUAUCGGCCGGAGUUCGACUGAGGUGUCUGGUGGAGAGAGGUGGGUAGCCACACGUCUGAGAGGAGCUUGGAGUCCGGCUCUCGCCGGAGCCCGGAUGGAGCCUUCUUUCAGUUGAGGUCGGGGAUGAAGUUUGGCUCCCACAGGAGUCCGGACUGAGUCUUCCUACAGCUGAGGCUGGAGACGAAGUCUGGCUCCCGUAGGAGCUCGAGCGAAAUCUACCUGCAAUUAGAGU
rnacentral:lncRNA from 1 species